rnacentral:rRNA from 1 species
GAUGAACGCUGGCGGCGUGCCUAAUACAUGCAAGUCGAGCGAACGGACGAGAAGCUUGCUUUUCUGAUGUUAGCGGCGGACGGGUGAGUAACACGUGGAUAACCUACCUAUAAGACUGGGAUAACUUCGGGAAACCGGAGCUAAUAUCGGAUAAUAUUUUGAACCGCAUGGUUCAAAAGUGAAAGACGGUCUUGCUGUCACUUAUAGAUGGAUCCGCGCUGCAUUAGCUAGUUGGUAAGGUAACGGCUUACCAAGGCAACGAUGCAUAGCCGACCUGAGAGGGUGAUCGGCCACACUGGAACUGAGACACGGUCCAGACUCCUACGGGAGGCAGCAGUAGGGAAUCUUCCGCAAUGGGCGAAAGCCUGACGGAGCAACGCCGCGUGAGUGAUGAAGGUCUUCGGAUCGUAAAACUCUGUUAUUAGGGGAGAACAUAUGUGUAAGUAACUGUGCACAUCUUGACGGUACCUAAUCAGAAAGCCACGGCUAACUACGUG